GGGAGUGUCGCCUAAUGGAAGGGCAUCAAUCUUCUAAAUUGAUUCGUGUAAGUUCGAGUCUUACCACUCCUGC
rnacentral:tRNA from 2 species